ACUCCUACGGGAGGCAGCAGUGGGGAAUAUUGCACAAUGGACGAAAGUCUGAUGCAGCAACGCCGCGUGGAGGAUGACACAUUUCGGUGCGUAAACUCCUUUUAUAUGAGAAGAUAAUGACGGUAUUAUAUGAAUAAGCACCGGCUAACUCCG
rnacentral:rRNA from 1 species